rnacentral:rRNA from 1 species
CACGUAGGGGGCAAGCGUUGUCCGGAUUUAUUGGGCGUAAAGAGCUCGUAGGCGGCUUAGUAAGUCGGGUGUGAAACCUCCAGGCUCAACCUGGAGACGCCACCCGAUACUGCUGUGGCUAGAGUCCGGUAGGGGAGCGUGGAAUUCCUGGUGUAGCGGUGAAAUGCGCAGAUAUCAGGAGGAACACCAGCGGCGAAGGCGACGCUCUGGGCCGGUACUGACGCUGAGGAGCGAAAGCGUGGGGAGCAAACAGG